rnacentral:rRNA from 1 species
AUUGAACGCUGGCGGGAGGCCUAACACAUGCAAGUCGAACGGAGUGGCGGACGGGUGAGUAAUGCCUAGGAAUCUGCCUGGUAGUGGGGGAUAACGUCCGGCAACGGUCGCUAAUACCGCAUACUAUCGGAUGAGCCUAGGUCGGAUUAGCUCGUUGGUGGGGUAAAGGCCAACCAAGGCGACGAUCCGUAACUGGUCUGAGAGGAUGAUCAGUCCCACUGGAAAUGAGACACGGUCCAGACUCCUACGGGAGGCAGCAGUGGGGAAUAUUGGACAAUGGGCGAAAGCCUGAUCCAGCCAUGCCGCGUGUGUGAAGAAGGACUGCGGAUUGUAAAGCACUUUAAGUAGGGAGGCGUUACCAACAGAAUAAGCACCGGCUAACUUCGUGCCAGCAGCCGCGGUAAUAC